CACGUAGUUAGCCGUGGCUUUCUGAUUAGGUACCGUCAAGACGUGCACAGUUACUUACACAUUUGUUCUUCCCUAAUAACAGAGUUUUACGAUCCGAAGACCUUCGUCACUCACGCGGCGUUGCUCCGUCAGGCUUUCGCCCAUUGCGGAAGAUUCCCUACUGCUGCCUCCCGUAGGAGUCUGGACCGUGUCUCAGUUCCAGUGUGGCCGAUCACCCUCUCAGGUCGGCUACGUAUCGUUGCCUUGGUAAGCCAUUACCCCACCAACUAGCUAAUACGGCGCGGGUCCAUCUAUAAGUGAUAGUAAAACCAUCUUUCACUUUAGAACCAUGCGGUUCUAAAUAUUAUCCGGCAUUAGCCCCGGUUUCCCGGAGUUAUUCCAGUCUUAUAGGUAGGUUACCCACGUGUUACUCACCCGUCCGCCGCUAACGUCAAAGGAGCAAGCUCCUUAUCUGUUCGCUCGACUUGCAUGUAUUAGGCACGCCGCCAGCGUUCAUCCUGAGCCAGGAUCAAACUCU
rnacentral:rRNA from 1 species